rnacentral:rRNA from 1 species
AACGAACGCUGGCGGCAUGCCUAACACAUGCAAGUCGAACGAGACCUUCGGGUCUAGUGGCGCACGGGUGCGUAACGCGUGGGAACCUGCCCUUAGGUUCGGAAUAACUCCCCGAAAGGGGUGCUAAUACCGGAUAAUGUCUUCGGACCAAAGAUUUAUCGCCUUGGAUGGGCCCGCGUUGGAUUAGCUAGUUGGUAGUGUAAAAGCCUACCAAGGCGACGAUCCAUAGCUGGUCUGAGAGGAUGAUCAGCCACACUGGGACUGAGACACGGCCCAGACUCCUACGGGAGGCAGCAGUGGGGAAUAUUGGACAAUGGGCGAAAGCCUGAUCCAGCAAUGCCGCGUGAGUGAUGAAGGCCGGAGGGUUGUAAAGCUCUUUUACCCGGGAUGAUAAUGACAGUACCGGGAGAAUAAGCUCCGGCUAACUCCGUG